GGCCUCCCAGUGCUUAGCACAGGCUGCGUUCUUACACCGCCUGUACAGAAGGAGGAGACAGAGUAAACCCACCCCAUAUACACACCUUGGCCCAGGCCUGUUGCCUGGUCAGUAUUGUGAAUGGGGGGACAUGU